ACUGAGAGAGGACAACCAAGUUGAUGAAGUGCCUUGAAGUGAUGUCAUAUAAGGAUCAGUUGGAGGAACUAUGGAUCUGUAGCGUGAAAAAAGAGAAAACUUAAGAAAGGAGAGAGGUAGGAUUGAAAACCCUCUUCAAGAAUUUAAAUGGGUUUUAUGUAGAACAGAAAACAACAACAACACUGGUUUGGUUUGACCCCAGAGUGCAGAACCAGCAUUAACAGAUCACAGCUGGAGUAUUGCGCCAGUUCUGGGCACCAUAUUGACAAGUUGAAAGCAUUCAGAGAAAGAUAACCAGACUGCACAGUCUUUGCACACAAUAGGAAUUUCAUCAAAAUUUGUUGAAAUGAAAAUUCAGCAAAGGAAUUAUAGCCAGCAAAUGGCAGAACCAGAAUUUGAACCCAAGUCCUUGGACUCCAUAUCCAGUGGUCUUGCCAGUACGCCACUUCGUUGAAUAGGGAGAGGAUAAGUCGGUGUUUAUUAAGUUAAGGAUCUCCUGUGAUCAUUUGAGCUGCUGAGUAGAGGACCUACUGAAAUGGAGAGAGAGAAAUCAGGGAGAUGGAUUAGAAGGCUAUGAGAGGCUUCCCUAUACCUUGAGAUACAACAAUAUUGAAAUUAGGCCAAUUAAUAACCCUACAACGACCUUUAAGUUUUCAAGUGAAAGGAAGCAUCAAUUGAUGGGGCAAACUGCCUUGUUGGCUUGUUUUAAGAAAUUGUUACAGGCACCCCAGCCUUCAGCAAUCACCACCCUGAUCAGCCAGCAGCCAUCAGCAUCAAGGCAAGAAUCUCUUCCAGAAAAUGCAUGACUCACUAAAGACUCAGAAGAUGGUUAGCAUUUUUUUUUAGCAAUAAAGGGUUUUUAAUUAAGGUAUGCACAUUGUUUAUUCAGACAUGCCACUAUUGCACACUUAAUAGACCACAAUAUAGUGUAAACACAACUUUUAUAUGUACUGGGAAAUAAAA